AAAUAUUGGCAACACUGUCCAGAAUCGGUUUCGAACGAUCGCCAUGUUUGUUUUUGCUGUUCUGUUUCGAGUCGAGGUGAAUUUAAACAAAAGUUAAAUUUGAUGAAUUUGUUUUUAGAAAUUAUUAUAUUUAUAACUAUGCCUACUUUAAACGGCCGGAUGAUUGCCGCACAUAUGACUCCUCAAGAUUUCCCUUUCGGAAAAAAAUAGUAUGUGAGACUCGUGUUGCGGAAUCCUGUCGCCACAAUUAGGUAUUGACUGGGAAUCACGAGUCAAUCCAGGAUAACUUACACCUGCCAAAACGUACAUAUCUGUUGUGCCGGUGCGUGCCAAUAUUCUAAUGCGUACCCGAUCCGCGCUAGCUGGCUGGGUGGACCGUAUAGUGGACCCUAAUAAAGCAUCGAGCAUCGACUACUGGGCGUCCGGUGGUAUGGGGGUAUUCCUUCUGAAGAUUAAUUGGGCCAUCCCGAAGAGGAAUCGGCGUCAGUGUUAUACACGGCCGCCAAUCUUAUCCAGAUUCAAUACAACUGCUUAUGUGGUCUGGAUAUGCAACGUUAUUGCGGAAUCAAGAAUAGAACUUUCUGUCCUAUUUGAAACUGAAGAGAUAUAAAACAACUAGACACAGAAGCAGAUCGGAAAAUAUUUAUUAGAAACAUGCUGGUACAAAUGCAAAGAGUUGCUGCAUCUCCUGUCUAUACUGCAUCUCCUGAUAUACAUAUCCGGCAAUUCCUCAGUGCCGCCAAGUAAACAGUCAACACCCGAUGGCACGGUGGUCGAACAAUUUCGUUUCGAUGGGAUGGGAACAUCUUUUCGCAGCCCCGGUGUCGGUGGUUCAGCGUUGGCAACACCCACCAUCGGAUGGCUGGCGGCAUCAACGGAAGAGCAUCGCACUCCAGCCCAAAAAAUAACGACAAUAAGGCAAAUUAAUGGCCUGUUGAAAGUAAAAUGCAAAUGACUUCUUUUACUUCAAUCGAUUGAUUUUAACUUAUAAUUGAUUUUAAAAUAAUGAAAAAUAAAUAUUUGUUGCAAGAAAAAAAAACAAA